AUUGAACGCUGGCGGCAUGCCUUACACAUGCAAGUCGAACGGUAACAGGUCUUCGGAUGCUGACGAGUGGCGAACGGGUGAGUAAUACAUCGGAACGUGCCCAGUCGUGGGGGAUAACGUAGCGAAAGUUACGCUAAUACCGCAUACGAUCUACGGAUGAAAGCGGGGGAACGUAAGGCCUCGCGCGAUUGGAGCGGCCGAUGUCAGAUUAGGUAGUUGGUGAGGUAAAGGCUCACCAAGCCGACGAUCUGUAGCUGGUCUGAGAGGACGACCAGCCACACUGGGACUGAGACACGGCCCAGACUCCUACGGGAGGCAGCAGUGGGGAAUUUUGGACAAUGGGCGCAAGCCUGAUCCAGCCAUUCCGCGUGCAGGACGAAGGCCUUCGGGUUGUAAACUGCUUUUGUACGGAACGAAAAGGCUCUGGUUAAUACCUGGGGCUCAUGACGGUACCGUAAGAAUAAGCACCGGCUAACUACGUGCCAGCAGCCGCCGUAAAAC
rnacentral:rRNA from 1 species